UACGGAGGGGGCUAGCGUUGUUCGGAAUCACUGGGCGUAAAGCGCACGUAGGCGGAUUUGUAAGUCAGGGGUGAAAUCCCGGGGCUCAACCUCGGAACUGCCUUUGAUACUGCGAGUCUUGAGUCCGAUAGAGGUGGGUGGAAUUCCUAGUGUAGAGGUGAAAUUCGUAGAUAUUAGGAAGAACACCAGUGGCGAAGGCGGCUUACUGGUC
rnacentral:rRNA from 1 species